rfam:Triticum aestivum genome assembly, contig: Triticum_aestivum_CS42_TGACv1_scaffold_000991_1AL
AGUAGGGGAGCGAACAGGAUUAGAUACCCUGGUAGUCCAUGCCGUAAACGAUGAGUGUUUGCCCUUGGUCUACGCAGAUCAGGGGCCCAGCUAACGCGUGAAAGUUC